rnacentral:rRNA from 1 species
CAAUAAGCGGAGGAAAAGAAACCAACAGGGAUUGCCCUAGUAACGGCGAGUGAAGCGGCAACAGCUCAAAUUUGAAAUCUGGCCCCCGGGUCCGAGUUGUAAUUUGUAGAGGAUGCUUUUGGUGCGGUACCUUCCGAGUUCCCUGGAACGGGACGCCAUAGAGGGUGAGAGCCCCGUCUGGUUGGACGCCAAUCCUUUGUAAAGCUCCUUCGACGAGUCGAGUAGUUUGGGAAUGCUGCUCUAAAUGGGAGGUAUAUGUCUUCUAAAGCUAAAUAUUGGCCAGAGACCGAUAGCGCACAAGUAGAGUGAUCGAAAGAUGAAAAGCACUUUGAAAAGAGAGUUAAAAAGUACGUGAAAUUGUUGAAAGGGAAGCGCUCAUGACCAGACUUGGGCCCGGUUGAUCAUCCAGGGUUCUCCCUGGUGCACUCUUCCGGCCCAGGCCAGCAUCAGUUCGCUGUGGGGGAUAAAGGCUUCGGGAAUGUGGCUCCUCCGGGAGUGUUAUAGCCCGCUGCGUAAUACCCUGUGGCGGACUGAGGUUCGCGCAUCUGCAAGGAUGCUGGCGUAAUGGUCAUCAGCGACCCGUCUUGAAACACGGACCAAGGAGUCGUCUUCGUAUGCGAGUGUUCGGGUGUUAAACCCCUACGCGGAAUGAAAGUGAACGCAGGUGAGAGCUUCGGCGCAUCAUCGACCGAUCCUGAUGUUCUCGGAUGGAUUUGAGUAAGAGCAUACGGGGCCGGACCCGAAAGAAGGUGAACUAUGCCUGUAUAGGGUGAAGCCAGAGGAAACUCUGGUGGAGGCUCGCAGCGGUUCUGACGUGCAAAUCGAUCGUCAAAUAUGGGCAUGGGGGCG